CACGUAGGGCGCAAGCGUUGUCCGGAAUUAUUGGGCGUAAAGAGCUCGUAGGCGGUCUGUUGCGUCUGCCUGUGAAAAACCCGGGGCUUAACCCCUGGCUUGCAGUGGAUACGGACAGACUAGAGGUAGGUAGGGGAGAAUGGAAUUCCCGGUGUAGCGGUGAAAUGCGCAGAUAUCGGGAGGAACACCGGUGGCGAAGGCGGUUCUCUGGGCCUUACCUGACGCUGAGGAGCCGAAAGCGUGGGGAGC
rnacentral:rRNA from 1 species